AUUGAACGCUGGCGGAAUGCUUUACACAUGCAAGUCGAACGGCAGCACGGACUUCGGUCUGGUGGCGAGUGGCGAACGGGUGAGUAAUGUAUCGGAACGUGCCCAGUCGUGGGGGAUAACGUAGUGAAAAUUACGCUAAUACCGCAUACGAUCUAUGGAUGAAAGCGGGGGAUCGCAAGACCUCGCGCGAUUGGAGCGGCCGAUAUCAGAUUAGGUAGUUGGUGGGGUAAAGGCCCAUCAAGCCAACGAUCUGUAGCUGGGCUGAGAGGACGGCCAGCCCCACGGGAACUGAGACGCGGUCCAGACUCCGACGGGAGUCAGCAGUGGGGAAUUUUGGAAAAGGGGCGAAAGCCUGAUCCAGCCAUUCCGCGUGCAGGAUGAAGACCCUCGGGUUGUAAACUGCUUUUGUAAAGAACGAAAAGGUUUCUACUAAUACUAGGAGCUCAUGACGGUACUGUAAGAAUAAGCACCGGCUAACUACGUGCCAGCAGCCGCCGUAA
rnacentral:rRNA from 1 species